CCCUUAGAUGUUCUGGGCUGCACGCGCGCUACACUGAAGCUAUCAACACGUUUUCCCUCCCUGAGAAGGGCGGGUAACCUUUUGAAUCAGCUUCGUGGUAGGGAUCGGGGCUUGCAAUUGUUCCCCGUGAACCAGGAAUUUCUAGUAGACGCGAGUCAUAAGCUCGCAUCGAUUAAGUCCCUGCCCUUUGUACACACCGCCCGUCGCUACUACCGAUUGAACGUUUUAGUGAGGCAUUUGGACCGACGCAUCUCAGUUUAACCGCUGGUUUGUGUUGGAAAGACUUCCAAACUUGAGCGUUUAGAGGAAGUAAAAGUCGUAACA
rnacentral:rRNA from 1 species